CCUUCAAUAGCUCAGCUGGUAGAGCAGAGGACUGUAGUUGUGUGUCCUUAAAUAUCCUUAAGUGGCUGGUUCAAUUCUGGCUUGAAUAA
rnacentral:tRNA from 1 species